rnacentral:rRNA from 2 species
UUCUGUAAGCCGUUGAAGGUGUCCUGUGAGGGGUGCUGGAGGUAUCAGAAGUGCGAAUGCUGACAUAAGUAACGAUAAAGCGGGUGAAAAGCCCGCUCGCCGGAAGACCAAGGGUUCCUGUCCAACGUUAAUCGGGGCAGGGUGAGUCGACCCCUAAGGCGAGGCCGAAAGGCGUAGUCGAUGGGAAACGGGUUAAUAUUCCCGUACUUGGUGUUACUGCGAAGGGGGGACGGAGAAGGCUAUGUUGGCCGGGCGACGGUAGUCCCGGUUUAAGCGUGUAGGUGUGUGUUCCAGGUAAAUCCGGUUCACUUUAACACUGAGGCGUGAUGACGAGGCACCACGGUGCUGAAGCAACAAAUGCCCUGCUUCCAGGAAAAGCCUCUAAGCAUCAGGUAACAUCAAAUCGUACCCCAAACCGACACAGGUGGUCAGGUAGAGAAUACCAAGGCGCUUGAGAGAACUCGGGUGAAGGAACUAGGCAAAAUGGUGCCGUAACUUCGGGAGAAGGCACGCUGACAC